UACGUAGGGAGCAAGCGUUGUUCGGAUUUACUGGGCGUAAAGGGUGCGUAGGCGGCGCGGUAAGUCGGGUGUGAAAUCUUGGAGCUUAACUCCGAAACUGCAUUCGAUACUGCCGUGCUUGAGGACUGGAGAGGAGACUGGAAUUUACGGUGUAGCGGUGAAAUGCGUAGAUAUCGUAAGGAAGACCAGUGGCGAAGGCGGGUCUCUGGACAGUUCCUGACGCUGAGGCACGAAGGCCAGGGGAGCAAACGGG
rnacentral:rRNA from 1 species